rnacentral:lncRNA from 1 species
CUUGGGUGGGGAAUUUGCUUUCCUUUUCUUAUUGCCUGGGCUAGCAUUAUUUAAAAUAAGAGAAAGCCCAUCAUCACCAGUUUCUUCAGAAAGGAUCGGCUCCAUUUGUACCAGAGGGCCUUUCUUAACCUCCAGUUGGUCCCUGGCCCCAACUCUGAGUUGCAACAGCCGCCGCCUCCUUCUGCACGCUGUCAUAGCCUUCUUGGGUAACCAUGAGUUCUUCC